GAAUCCGGUGCGAAUCCGGAGCGGUCCCGCCACUGUGAACCAUCCCGGCUCCGGCCGGGUGGCAGCCAGGGCA
rnacentral:ncRNA from 2 species